GGGGGCCCGGCUGCCAGAGCCCGGGGGCAGUGGAAGUCCCGCCCGCCGGGGCCGGGGGAGCCGCCCCAGCCCAGGGCACAGAGCCCGAGCACAGGGGGCUGCUGGGCCCGCAGGCGCCAGAUGCUCUGAACCUCACCGUUGAGCUCCAGGGGUCUGGGCACACCAGUGCGUCCCUUAGGCAGGUAACAUUUGAGGUCUCUGCUGCUAACCAGCUGGGCUCCACUGUGACCUUGCCUGUGGAAAGGGAGCACCUGGCUGACCAGUCCGAGGUGGAGGAUCUAGAGCGGAGCAGGUCUGCUUAUAGAACCCAUGAGCUGGAAAUCCUAGCCAACGAAAGCACCGUUUCUCUAGGCUCCAGCUCCUUUGCAACCUCCACUCCGCUGAUGGGCCCAGCAAAGUUUCACUUUGUGACAGGUAGUCCCCUAGGAGAUGACUUGGAACAGAGGGACCCAAACUCCUCUAGACGUUCAAUGCCAAGAGAGCUAACCUGCCCAAGUCAGGCUGGCUCCAAAUCUGCAGCACCCAAGGAAACCCAGAGCGCCAUCUCCAAAUGCGGGAACCUACCUGAAGAAGAGUCCCGUGACAAGGUCCGUCUCAAACCACCUCGGAAGAGUACUGCGUUGCCUGUCUCUUCCAGAAGCUAUGCCAGUACUGAAGGCCAAGCUGCCAUCAAAUCGCUGCCCCUGGCCUUUACCACCCCAAGAGCAAGUAGGAGUCUGGCCCUCGCUUCCUUUGAAUCUCGGAGAGCUUCUCGGGAGCUGCUGAGAGCAGGCCUGCCUCCAAGGAGCAGAGGCAUUGCCUCCGAGGGGAAAGCAACAAGUCUGUCUCUGGGUAACUCCGGGCCCAGCCUGCAGAAAACGGCUGCCACUGGAAAAACAAGCCAGGGAUCCAACGUGGAGACCCAGCCUGCUGCCCAACUCCCUGCCAGCGGCACUGUGAAGCAGAGUGCUACAAAGCCACCUUGCAGUGAGAAGUGCCCCUCAUCCCUCCAGCCUCCUACCAAAGUCCCAGGACUCAGCAGCAGCAGCAGACCCUUGCUCAUGGGAUCCCGAGUUUCUCUGGGUCCAGGGAUCCUCUGCACGAGCAAAGGGGCUGGAGCUCCGGGAACCAAACUCCCAACUUAC
rnacentral:lncRNA from 1 species